rnacentral:lncRNA from 1 species
GAUGUGGAAAACAUGCAGAAUGGCAAAGCCAAUGAUCUCAGCAGACGCCGACACUUCCACCACUCCUCACGUCCAGCGCCGUCUGGAAACUCACUGAAUGUUCACGACAACCUGAGGCUCCCUUCUCUUUCAAAGAGGGUUCCCGAGGCCCCACAAUGGCAUGAAAUUAGAGCAGCAGGACAGCGACUUGGAGAGGCUGAUAAAGGGGAGGCAAUAGGUCAGGGCGUGACAUGGACCCCAGCUCCACCAGCUGUGGUGCCACCUCAUGCCUCCGCCCUGUGCCCCACUGUGUUCCAGUUCCAAGCAAUGAUUCUCUCCUCCAGGAAACCACAACGCGACCUAGGCUGCCUAUUGGAGCAGCUACAAAGGAGAACCCUGAUUACUUACUUCCGUGUUCCUCUAACUCGAGCCAAGUUUGUGUUGAGGGAAAAACAUUCUCCAAGUCCCCCAGACCAUGCGAGCAGACGAAGUAGAAGAACACAGAUUGAAGCCUAUAAAACGCUGGACCGUGAACACGCCCCUCGAGGGGGCAUCGCAACUGCCGCAGCGGGACGUCAUCAGGCUGCUGGAACCGGUUUUGUCAUUUUUGCUGUUUUACGUUUCAUCGCAAAAAAAAACAAAAAAACAAAAACAAAAAAACUGCGAUAUGAAAACUUUCUCAGGAAGUGCCCCACAAUCUUCUCAUCCCAAACACUCCCCCCAUGUCCGCCCGGGUCUGCAAAAGUGAAAUUAAGAAAGCCUGAGUUACCCAUUCAGGGGCCACGAGGCAAGAGCAGCCUCAUUGCUCUGGAGGAAUACCACCGCUCGGUGUGGGAGGGCGCCGCGGGGUUGGUCUCUUCUCUGCCUGCG